rnacentral:rRNA from 1 species
AGUGAACGCUGGCGGUAGGCCUAACACAUGCAAGUCGAACGGCAGCACAGUAAGAUCUUGCUCUUACGGGUGGCGAGUGGCGGACGGGUGAGGAAUACAUCGGAAUCUACUUUUUCGUGGGGGAUAACGUAGGGAAACUUACGCUACUACCGCAUACGACCUACGGGUGAAAGCAGGGGAUCUUCGGACCUUGCGCGAUUGAAUGAGCCGAUGUCGGAUUAGCUAGUUGGCGGGGUAAAGGCCCACCAAGGCAACGAUCCGUAGCUGAUCUGAGAGGAUGAUCAGCCACACUGGAACUGAGACACGGUCCAGACUCCUACGGGAGGCAGCAGUGGGGAAUAUUGGACAAUGGGCGCAAGCCUGAUCCAGCCAUACCGCGUGGGUGAAGAAGGCCUUCGGGUUGUAAAGCCCUUUUGUUGGGAAAGAAAAGCAGCAGGUUAAUACCCCGCUGUUCUGACGGUACCCAAAGAGUAAGCACCGGCUAACUUCGUG